AAAGUCGUAACAAGGUAACCGUAGGUGAACCUGCGGUUGGAUCAUUAUGAAUGUGAUGGAUUGUGUCUUGUUCCCUCUCGGGGUAGAGCUCGACAUGAUUCACAAACCACUUGUGCAACUAUAAUCGUAUUUUGGGGGUACCCUUGGGUAUUCCCAGCAUGUAAACCUGUGAACCUUUGACUAAAUUGUGCCAGAAAUCAUAACAACUUUUGACAACGGAUCUCUUGGCUCUC
rnacentral:misc_RNA from 1 species